rnacentral:rRNA from 1 species
CUCAGGACGAAACGCUGGGGGGGGUCCCUAACACAAUGCAAGUCGAACGAAGCUUGAGGGAAGGAAUUUUCGGAGGAAAAUCUGAAAUGAUUGAGUGGCGGACGGGUGAGUAACGCGUGAGCAACCUGCCCUUCAGAGGGGGAUAGCGUCUGAAACGGACGGUAAUACCGCAUAACGUAUAAAUACGGCAUCGUAGAUAUACCAAAGAUUUAUCGCUGAAGGAUGGGCUCGCGUCUGAUUAGAUAGUUGGUGGGGUAACGGCCUACCAAGUCGACGAUCAGUAGCCGGACUGAGAGGUUGAACGGCCACAUUGGGACUGAGACACGGCCCAGACUCCUACGGGAGGCAGCAGUGGGGAAUAUUGCACAAUGGGCGCAAGCCUGAUGCAGCAACGCCGCGUGGAGGAAGACGGUUUUCGGAUUGUAAACUCCUGUUCUUAGUGAAGAAGAAUGACGGUAGCUAAGGAGCAAGCCACGGCUAACUACGUGCCAGCAGCCGCGGUAAUACGUAGGUGGCAAGCGUUGUCCGGAAUUACUGGGUGUAAAGGGAGCGCAGGCGGGGGAGCAAGUCAGCUGUGAAAUCCAUGGGCUUAACCCAUGAACUGCAGUUGAAACUGUUCUUCUUGAGUGAAGUAGAGGUUGGCGGAAUUCCGAGUGUAGCGGUGAAAUGCGUAGAUAUUCGGAGGAACACCGGUGGCGAAGGCGGCCAACUGGGCUUUUACUGACGCUGAGGCUCGAAAGUGUGGGGAGCAAACAGGAUUAGAUACCCUGGUAGUCCACACUGUAAACGAUGAUAACUAGGUGUAGGGGGUCUGACCCCUUCUGUGCCGCAGCUAACGCAAUAAGUAUCCACCUGG